AUUUUCACUUUCAGGCCCUCCUGUCCCAACUUAAUGUAAUAAUAAAAAUAGGUACUUUUUAGUCUAUUUAAAUGGCAUUUUAAAUAUUUAUAUUGCUUUUUUAAAGAAAAAGAAACUAAAUGUUGGUCAAAACUAUUAUAAUGAUGAGAUCUUAAUCUAGGAAACUGCCAUGUGUUGCAAUUCACUUUGUGCUUUGACACUACUUUCACUGUGAAACUAUUUUCACUGCCAAAAGCAAAAUAUCAUUAAAUACUUAUACUUUUAUUCUGUUCUUUUUUUUUUUUUUAACUACAUUUUGCAUUCAAUUUAGAUUCAUGCUACAUUGGCAUUUCAAAGUGAAAGAUGUCCAGAGACCAGUUUUAAUACUACAGCUAUAAUUUACUCUGAAUGGUGUUAUAGCCUCUACAUGCCAGCAGACUGGUUUCCAGAAAACACUUCAGGGCUUUAUGUGCCUACUGUAUGGAUGGAUGGCAAGCUUUGUGUCCACGCAAGAGUUACCUACACCUAUGAGACUCUACACACAGCAGAAGAUGUGCAUCCUGCUUGGGAGACCGCUUACAACCACAAGUCUUGCUGUUUGGCAUGAGAAGAAAGGAGCAGGUCGCAGAGAACAUCCUCUAGCAGUACAAGAUAAAGAUUUGAUUGCAACAAGCUAUAUGCUGCUGAGACAUAUUGCACUGCAGGUACAAUCAUGUACGCUUACUAUCUCUCAUUGGCCCAACAAAGUAAGAUGCAAUAACUUCUUGGAGGAAUUUCAAGGUUAAUCUUGAUUAGACAGUGAUGUAUCCUAGUGCUUAAAGUACUAGAAUGUGAAAAAUGAGUUUAAAUCUUUUCUAGUAGAAGAGGAAUUCUACUCAAGUUUCUCAGACAUACUGGAUAAGUUAUCCACUGCAUAAUGAAACAAAAAUAUAAUUGCAUUAUUACUCUGUGAAUGCAAUUCAGCUUCCUUAAUGUAAGUUUCUGAUACUAUAUCAAAUGUUACAUCUCAUGUAGCAGAGCAGAAAGGUCCAGGUUUCCCAGAGAUCCUGUAUUAAAUUUGGACCCAUGUGGAUGUCUCAUAUAGCACUGGACGUAUCAAAUGGAAGUUCAAAUGCCCAAGGAGGUUGUGGAUGCCCCAUCCCUGGAUGCAUUCAAGGCCAGGCUGGAUGUGGCUCUGGGCAGCCUGGUCUAGUGGUUGGCGACCCUGCACAUAGCAGGGGGGUUGAAACUAGAUGAUUAUUGUGGAUUCUUUCAACCCAGGCCAUUCUAUGAUUCUAUGAAAUGGAACUGGUGCCUCUAUUGAGACAGAAUAUCCUCUUGGUCUUCUGAGUUGGAGCUGUUGUAGUUAUUUAAUUACAGCAGAAUGUCCACGUUAUAAAUACGAGUGGAGAUAAGCUCCUUGACAGGAUGAGGAAGGAAACAGCCUUGUCCCAGACCUUGGCAUCAGAAUUGGAGACUUUCAGUCACAAAAAUUUGACUUGGAACUGGGACUGUAAUUAACAGAUCAUGCAAUCUUAAGGAUGGGUUUUGUGCAGUCUUCUGAUGUUGAACUAGACAUAAAACAAUCCCCAAAAUGGAAGGUAAGACUGAUUAUUCCUAUUGAUGCCUAUUAAUUUUAGCCUGUUGCAUUUAUUUAAGGACAAAUGACGCCUGCUUAUACACAUAUCAUCUAUCUAGGCAAGCACACUGAGAUGUAAAAUCAGAGACCUGAUACUGAUGGAAGGUUGAACUUAGGGCACAACCUUAUUGUUUCCAAUCAAAUUGUUUCUUUUUUUUUCAGUGCUUGACUCUUUUUACUUUCUCAUGUUAAUUUUUGAGGACAAUGGGACUAAUACUGAACACAUUAAAGCAGAUGUAAAUGAGAAAUAAUUUCACUGAGUUUCAUUUUGUUUCACUUACACAUCAAAGCUAUGAUUUCUUCUCAAGAUCUUGCUGUCAGCUUUACAUUCAAUUAAACACAUGUAGCCUUUGAAAUACAGAGGAGCUGAACAAGGCUUUUAAGCAAAUCCAAAAAUUAGUGAAAGUGUCAUUAGCUCAUUAUUGUACUCAGAAUUUCCUUUUUCUUUCUUUUCUUUUUUUUUUUUUUAAUGAAAGAAAAUUCUAAAUUGCUAAAAUUAAUACAAGAUGUUCACAGGCUUCUCUAGUCACAACAUAAUGAGUCAUGUACCAGUAACUCGCUUGGUGUGUCUUAGUUAACUGCCCUUCGUUAUGAUGAUACUGUUAUUACACAUCAUUGUAGCAAGACACCCAGAUUGGCACAGUGUUUGCUACAGAUGAGAAUUUCAGCUGAUCAAUUAGAUAAGCUUCAAAGAGCAUAAUUGCUGCCUUCCAGUUACUUUAAUCUCCUUCUUUUUGUGUGUAUACAAAAUAUGCCAUAACUGUCUUUUCAGUUCUGUUGUGUGAAAACUCUAAGUUGUUUUAGUCUUAGGAUACACUUUAUAUGUAUAUGGCCUGUGAUUUUUGUGCUUCUGAAAUGUCACAACUUUAAAUGGUAAUAUCUUCUAAUCAGCCAAUCAUUAGUUGAGCUUGAUUCUAAGUUCUUCACCAUUAUUUGCAGAUUGUUAGCCCUUUGAGAAGUGGGUGGGAAGAGGUAUGAGCAGGGGCUCACUACCUCCUGAUUUCUUUUAUUUUUCUGAAAUAAGAAAAUGAUACUGCAGUUAUGUCAGGUGGAUAGUAUACAAGUGGUAACCAGAUGGGGAGGAAAUAUAAAAAAGCUUGGAUUUGGCCACUCUUCUUGGGGAGGAGAAACGCAAAGACUUAAAGGAGAAAAAAGAAGGAGAUGGUAUGGGAGUCUGCUCUGCUGGUGCAGGCAAGUGAGAAUCACCUAGGCACAGAUGCAUAUCAAGUGCCAAGAGACCCAGAAGCACCUCCCAUUCUCAUUUACCUUUCCUAUUGCCUAAAAUUAAUUACGUCUUGCCACAGCUAGGUCUGGGUGUAAACGCAGAGAUAAGAGAUAAAAUUCCCAUUGAGUGAGGGGAAAAAAAUUGUUAUUGAGAAGAAAAGCUACAUGGAUGCUUAACUCACUGUGAACUGUAAUACUGACCCCAAGAAAAAGAAGUGUGAGACUGAAGUCCUAUUUACUAUUGCAAAGACUACUGAAAGAAGAAAUAGAAGAGAGUGUUUUGAAGAAAAAAAAAAAAAAGAGAGAUACAAUGGUUUUACUGGAAGAGAGAAAAAACAAAGAGAGACCAGAACAAAAAUUUUUACAAGCAUUUAUGUACAGGAUUUAUGAUGAAUCUUUGAAGCUUGGU
rnacentral:lncRNA from 1 species